AACGCGAAGAACCUUACCAGGUCUUGACAUCCCGUGCAUAACCUAGAGAUAGGCGAAGCCCUUCGGGGCACGGAGACAGGUGGUGCAUGGUUGUCGUCAGCUCGUGUCGUGAGAUGUUGGGUUAAGUCCCGCAACGAGCGCAACCCUUACUAUUAGUUGCUACGCAAGAGCACUCUAAUGGGACUGCCGUUGACAAAACGGAGGAAGGUGGGGAUGACGUCAAAUCAUCAUGCCCUUUAUGACCUGGGCUACACACGUAAUACAAUGGCGAUUAACAGAGGGGCGCGAAACCGCGAGGUGGGGCAAAUCCCCAAAAAUCGUCUCAGUUCGGAUCGCAGGCUGCAACUCGCCUGCGUGAAGUCGGAAUUGCUAGUAAUCGCGGAUCAGCACGCCGCGGUGAAUACGUUCCCGGGUCUUGUACACACCGG
rnacentral:rRNA from 1 species